rnacentral:lncRNA from 1 species
CUCCAAUUAGGAGACAUCCAAUCUAAAUUAAUGGGGCUCCAAAAUAAAUUUAGAUUCUAAUUUAUUUGAGUCUAAACUGAUCUUAAUAUGAUUAGGACCUAUUGAUGUUUUAAUUACAUUAAAACAGCCAAUUUAAUGUAGAAUCCCAUGGGAAUAAAACACUAUCCAUCCAUGCAUCAAAAGGAGUCCAAUGUUGAACUGUUUUUGUGCACACACCAAACC